AAGAAUAGUUAUAGGUAUAUCAAUAGCGUUGAAAUAGUAGUAAGUUAUGUACAUAUUAAGAGCGCCACCUCGCCAACAAACUGGCCCACCUGUUUGGCGAGUUAGUAAUGUUAUGAACCUUGUAGAGUUAAUAUGAAUAAAUAAAUUUAAAAAAAGAUAGAUAAUAAUUUU